CCUACGGGGGGCAGCAGUGAGGAAUAUUGGUCAAUGGUCGGGAGACUGAACCAGCCAAGCCGCGUGAGGGAUGAAGGUACAGAGUAUCGUAAACCUCUUUUGUCAGGGAACAAAGGCGGGGACGUGUCCCCGGAUGAGUGUACCUGAAGAAAAAGCAUCGGCAAACUCCGUGCCAGCAGCCGCGGUAAUCCGGAGGAUGCGAGCGUUAUCCGGUUUUAUUGGGUUAAAAGGGUGCGCAGGCGGUCUGUUAAGUCAGCGCGCAAAGCCCGGGGCGAAACCCCGGCCCGCCGUUGAAACUGGCAGGCUCGAGUUGGAGAGAAGUAUGCGGAAGGCGCGGUGUAGCGGUGAAAUGCGUAGAUAUCGCGCAGAACUCCGAUUGCGAAGGCAGCAUGCCGGCUCCACACUGACGCUGAGGCACGAAAGCGUGGGUAUCGAACAGGAUUAGAUACCCUUGUAGUC
rnacentral:rRNA from 1 species